UGCGUAGCCAAGUUACAGUUGCAGCCAUUCAGCACUCCCGGCAAGCCGCCCACCUACGCUCCUCCAUCUUUAUAAAUAUAGAGAUAUGUGUAGCGAUUACGUCAACUGAUUCUCAAAUAAGAGAUAUUAUUAAACAUAAAAAAUAAAAUCAACGAUAUAAUAACAUACAUACAAACGCCUAAAGAAGAUUUCAGGUAAAAAGCUAAAAGGAAUGUGCAUAUACUACUAUCAUUAUGUACAUAUGUAUAUAUAGACAUAUUUAUGUAUGUAAAAUUAAUACACUCGACGGAUGUGGUGACUCCUUAUGGUUAUGGCGUUAAAAAAGCGUAAAAGUGUGAAAUAUAUUUAUAUGCAAAUAGGCUAAUGAAAGUAGUAGAAAAUGGCAGGCCUGUAU